rnacentral:rRNA from 1 species
UACGGGGGGAGCAAGCGUUGUUCGGAUUUACUGGGCGUAAAGGGCGCGUAGGCGGUCGUGACAAGUCACUUGUGAAAUCUCCGGGCUUAACUCGGAACGGUCAAGUGAUACUGUCGGACUAGAGUACAGAAGGGGCAACUGGAAUUCUCGGUGUAGCGGUGAAAUGCGUAGAUAUCGAGAGGAACACCUGCGGCGAAGGCGGGUUGCUGGGCU